UACGUAGGGUGCGAGCGUUGUCCGGAAUUAUUGGGCGUAAAGGGCUCGUAGGCGGUUUGUCACGUCGGGAGUGAAAACUCGGGGGCUUAACCCCGAGCCUGCUUCCGAUACGGGCAGACUAGAGGUAUGCAGGGGAGAACGGAAUUCCUGGUGUAGCGGUGAAAUGCGCAGAUAUCAGGAGGAACACCGGUGGCGAAGGCGGUUCUCUGGGCAUUACCUGACGCUGAGGAGCGAAAGUGUGGGGAGCGA
rnacentral:rRNA from 1 species